UACGUAGGGUGCAAGCGUUAUCCGGAAUUAUUGGGCGUAAAGAGCUCGUAGGCGGUUUGUCGCGUCUGCUGUGAAAACUGGGGGCUCAACCCCCAGCCUGCAGUGGGUACGGGCAGACUAGAGUGCGGUAGGGGAGAUUGGAAUUCCUGGUGUAGCGGUGGAAUGCGCAGAUAUCAGGAGGAACACCGGUGGCGAAGGCGGCAUCCUGGACCGAUACUGACGCUGAGGAGCGAAAGCCAGGGGAGCAAACGGG
rnacentral:rRNA from 1 species